rnacentral:tRNA from 1 species
UCGGAAAUAGCUCAGUUGGUAGAGCAUAACCUUGCCAAGGUUAGGGUCGCGAGUUCGAGUCUCGUUUUCCGCUCAA